rnacentral:rRNA from 1 species
GAUGAACGCUGGCGGCGUGCCUAAUACAUGCAAGUCGAGCGAACAGACGAGGAGCUUGCUCCUCUGACGUUAGCGGCGGACGGGUGAGUAACACGUGGAUAACCUACCUAUAAGACUGGGAUAACUUCGGGAAACCGGAGCUAAUACCGGAUAAUAUAUUGAACCGCAUGGUUCAAUAGUGAAAGACGGUUUUGCUGUCACUUAUAGAUGGAUCCGCGCCGCAUUAGCUAGUUGGUAAGGUAACGGCUUACCAAGGCAACGAUGCGUAGCCGACCUGAGAGGGUGGUCGGCCACACUGGAACUGAGACACGGUCCAGACUCCUACGGUAGGCAGCAGUAGGGAAUCUUCCGCAAAGGGCGAAAGCCUGACGGAGCAACGCCGCGUGAGUGAUGAAGGUCUUCGGAUCGUAAAACUCUGUUAUUAGGGAAGAACAAAUGUGUAAGUAACUAUGCACGUCUUGACGGUACCUAAUCAGAAAGCCACGGCUAACUACGUG